rnacentral:tRNA from 1 species
GCGGUCAUGGCGAAAUGGUAGACGCGCAACGUUGAGGUCGUUGUGUCCGAAAGGACGUGGAAGUUCGAGUCUUCUUGACCGCACCA